GCAACUUUGGCCGAGUGGUUAAGGCGUUACGUUAAGGCCGUAAUGGGAGUCAUCCCGCGUGGGUUCGAGCCCCACAGGUUGCA
rfam:Giardia lamblia ATCC 50803 SC_572 genomic scaffold, whole genome shotgun sequence.